rnacentral:rRNA from 1 species
CGGUGAAGCCCAGCUUGCUGGGUGGAUCAGUGGCGAACGGGUGAGUAACACGUGAGCAAUCUGCCCCUGACUCUGGGAUAAGCGCUGGAAACGGCGUCUAAUACUGGAUACGAACCGUGGAGGCAUCUUCAACGGUUGGAAAGAUUUUUUGGUCAGGGAUGAGCUCGCGGCCUAUCAGCUUGUUGGUGAGGUAAUGGCUCACCAAGGCGUCGACGGGUAGCCGGCCUGAGAGGGUGACCGGCCACACUGGGACUGAGACACGGCCCAGACUCCUACGGGAGGCAGCAGUGGGGAAUAUUGCACAAUGGGCGAAAGCCUGAUGCAGCAACGCCGCGUGAGGGAUGACGGCCUUCGGGUUGUAAACCUCUUUUAGCAGGGAAGAAGCGAAAGUGACGGUACCUGCAGAAAAAGCGCCGGCUAACUACGUGCCAGCAGCCGCGGUAAUACGUAGGGCGCAAGCGUUAUCCGGAAUUAUUGGGCGUAAAGAGCUCGUAGGCGGUUUGUCGCGUCUGCUGUGAAAUCCCGAGGCUCAACUUCGGGUCUGCAGUGGGUACGGGCAGACUAGAGUGCGGUAGGGGAGAUUGGAAUUCCUGGUGUAGCGGUGGAAUGCGCAGAUAUCAGGAGGAACACCGAUGGCGAAGGCAGAUCUCUGGGCCGUAACUGACGCUGAGGAGCGAAAGGGUGGGGAGCAAACAGGCUUAGAUACCCUGGUAGUCCACCCCGUAAACGUUGGGAACUAGUUGUGGGGUCCAUUCCACGGAUUCCGUGACGCAGCUAACGCAUUAAGUUCCCCGCCUGGGGAGUACGGCCGCAAGGCUAAAACUCAAAGGAAUUGACGGGGACCCGCACAAGCGGCGGAGCAUGCGGAUUAAUUCGAUGCAACGCGAAGAACCUUACCAAGGCUUGACAUAUACGAGAACGCUGCAGAAAUGUAGAACUCUUUGGACACUCGUAAACAGGUGGUGCAUGGUUGUCGUCAGCUCGUGUCGUGAGAUGUUGGGUUAAGUCCCGCAACGAGCGCAACCCUCGUUCUAUGUUGCCAGCACGUAAUGGUGGGAACUCAUGGGAUACUGCCGGGGUCAACUCGGAGGAAGGUGGGGAUGACGUCAAAUCAUCAUGCCCCUUAUGUCUUGGGCUUCACGCAUGCUACAAUGGCCGGUACAAAGGGCUGCAAUACCGUGAGGUGGAGCGAAUCCCAAAAAGCCGGUCCCAGUUCGGAUUGAGGUCUGCAACUCGACCUCAUGAAGUCGGAGUCGCUAGUAAUCGCAGAUCAGCAACGCUGCGGUGAAUACGUUCCCGGGUCUUGUACACACCGCCCGUCAAGUCAUGAAAGUCGGUAACACCUGAAGCCGGUGGCCC